rnacentral:rRNA from 1 species
CUGCAGCCCGAGUGGUGAUCGAUUUUAUUGAGCCUAAAGCGUCCGUAGCCGGACUAGUAAACCCUUGGGUAAAUUGGGCAGCUUAACUGUCCAAAUUCCGAGGGGACUGCUAGUCUUGGGACCGGGAGAGGUCAGAGGUACUCAAGGGGUAGGGGCUAAAUCCUGUAAUCCUUUGGGGACCACCAGUGGCGAAGGCGUCUGACUAGAACGGAUCCGACGGUAAGGGACGAAAGCCAGGGGAGCGAGCCGGAUUAGAGACCCCAGUAGUCC